rnacentral:rRNA from 1 species
CCCACGGGGAGCUGCAGUGGGGAAUAUUGGACAAUGGGCGAAAGCCUGAUCCAGCCAUGCCGCGUGUGUGAAGAAGGCCUUCGGGUUGUAAAGCACUUUCAGUGGGGAAGAAAGCCUUGGGGCUAAUACCCUCGAGGAAGGACAUCACCCACAGAAGAAGCACCGGCUAACUCCGUGCCAGCAGCCGCGGUAAUACGGAGGGUGCGAGCGUUAAUCGGAAUUACUGGGCGUAAAGCGCGCGUAGGCGGUCUGAUAAGCCGGUUGUGAAAGCCCCGGGCUCAACCUGGGAACGGCAUCCGGAACUGUCAGGCUAGAGUGCAGGAGAGGAAGGUAGAAUUCCCGGUGUAGCGGUGAAAUGCGUAGAGAUCGGGAGGAAUACCAGUGGCGAAGGCGGCCUUCUGGACUGACACUGACGCUGAGGUGCGAAAGCGUGGGUAGCAAACAGGAUUAGAUACCCCGGUAGUC